rnacentral:rRNA from 1 species
GGAGGGGGAUCUUCGGACCUCUCGCUAAUAGAUGAGCCCAGGCCGGAUUAGCUAGUUGGUAGGGUAAAGGCCUACCAAGGCGACGAUCUGUAGCUGGUCUGAGAGGAUGGCCAGCCACACUGGAACUGAGACACGGUCCAGACUCCUACGGGAGGCAGCAGUGGGGAAAUCUUGGACAAUGGGCGCAAGCCUGAUCCAGCAAUGCCGCGUGUGUGAAGAAGGCCUUAGGGUUGUAAAACACUUUCAGCAAUGAAGAAGCAUUUCGACAGUAAUACAGUUGUUGUGUUGACGUUAAUUGUAGAAGAAGUACUGGCUAACUCUGUG